CUUGGAGAUGACGGGCUGUAUGGACUAGACGGAGACAGCUUUGGACUGGUCGGCGAAUAUGCAAGGGAGGGGCUGUAUCUCGCCGAGGGAUUGUAACUUGGUGAUGUAGGACUAUAUGAUGGUGAUGUUGGGCUGUAACUGGGAGAUGUUGGGCUGUAACCAGGGGAGGUAGGACUGUAUGCAGGAGAAGUGGGACUAUAUGAUGGAGAAGUUGGACUAUAACUUGGUGAGGUGGGGCUAUAUGAAGGCGAGGUGGGGCUGUAAGAAGGUGAGGUGGGGCUGUAUGAAGGUGAAGUGGGGCUGUAAGAUGGAGAAGUGGGGCUGUAAGAUGGAGAAGUGGGGCUGUAGGCAGGCGAAGUGGGGCUGUAGGCAGGCGAAGUGGGACUGUAGGCAGGCGAAGUGGGGCUGUAGCUAGGCGAUGUUGGGCUAUAACUAGGAGAUGUAGGGCUAUAGCUCGGAGAUGUUGGACUAUAACUAGGUGAUGUGGGAGAGUACGAUGGACUGGUUGGGGAAUAUGCUGGACUUGUCGGACUGUAGCCAGG
rnacentral:lncRNA from 1 species